CAGAGACUUGCUAUGCUGCCCAGUAUGUUUGGCUCCAGAAGUUUAGAUUUUAAAGGAUCCCAACCGUGCCGUGACCAUGGAGCAGUAAGCAAGAUGAAAGUGGCGGGUAACCUGGCUGAGCUCCCAGUCCAGACAGCGGGGGAACCCACCAUUCUAACCCCUGCCAUCGCCUGUGGCAGGGACAGCCCUGGGGCCACCACAACCCAGGUUGGCAAGAGAAGUCGGAGGCCGAUUGGCGUAGAGACUUCGUGGGUGUAGAAGCUUCCAGUUUUGUCUUUUAGGCCGUCCCCGCCAAGGCCUGCAUUGUACUGAGCAGGAGACUGGAGACUACUGUAGAGGCCACCAGUAAAAAGGAGAAUCAAGGGAGGGAGGAAGCGAAAUCAGGGCCUCGCACUUUCCAGGCAGGCACUGUACCAUUGAGCUAUAUCCCCAGCCCCAGAAUCUCCUUGCUUUUGAUGGUUUCUAGGAAACCCCAGGAUUUCAUGGGAAGCCCACGACGUGGAGAGCAAGCGGGAACAGUGGCCUGGAUCCUGACCGGGGACCCAUCCUGGCUUGGGGAACCAGGCUGGUCUGGGGCAGGUUUGGGUUAGGAAAAGCUGUAUUCAUAAUUACAUGUAUAAAACUUAUGUGAUCCAAAAUGCGGGAAUUGCUGACGUGCUGGAAAGACCCAGGCUAAUUCGGGGGUUGGGUUGUUCAGACAGUUCCUGAGAGGAGUUUUAGAAAUCUCCCCCUCAGUGGUUCUCCUGUCAAUGUAGCCAACCUAGACUCUCCCCGAGAGACUCCUCGAAUUCCCAGAAAUAUAUCAUGGUGGGGGUCCUGAUACUGGACAGGGGACAGACCCUGCUCCUGAUGGAUGGCUGCGGUGCCCUCCCUGGGCCUGGGACCAGUGGAUGCCCCCCAAAAUGGAGCCGUGGUCUGGUGGCUCAGUCUAGUCUCACACAUAACUGGUCUGUUCCUUCGGCCUUUCACUUUCCAGGAGAGCCUCACUCC